AUUACUUUAAGCGUUCAAUUUCUCAGCGAUCCAAUUUUAUUAGGAUUUACUAUCAUUUGUGCUGUGCAUCCCUGGGGAAAUAAUGCUUUGAUUAAUGUAAUCCUGGGCUGGGAUCCGCCACAUGCCCCUCUCCCAAGAGAAGGGCCCUGUUUGACAAACAAAAACAGAGCAGCAACUAUUGCAAUCUGCACUCACCUUUCGAAAGCACACAGACCCACGCACGCAAAAAUCUAACCCCCUCCUUCCCCCCAACCCCAAAUAAAGCAGCAGCAUCUCAAAACAAUGCGCGCUUAUUCAUUUGCACACAAUGCCUCCGAUUCAGCGUGGGCUGUACAGUCCAGCCCUCAACUGCACAGAGCCAGCCCAAAAAGGAUCCUGCUCUGUCCCCCACUGGGAAGCUGAAGCAUCUCUGGGAAGCUCAAUGCCUCUCUGUAUUUCAGGCUUUCCUUGGGCUCCCAACAUUUCUGCUUCUUUGUUUCCCACUGCAGGCCUUGCCGCAAACCGAUUUCCAAGUCUGCUCCUUCAACCCACCGGCAGCCCAGGGGCCCAAGAAGCUGUCCCUGCGAGGUUCCCUGGCACCCACCUGGGGGGACAUGUACCUCUCUAAACGGGCCCUGAUACAUAUUGAACUGAAAGACUGCUAGACGAAGAGCCAGGCUGUCGUUCGGCCUGAGUCCCCGCACCCAGGCAGCACCAAUUUAAACCAGCACCAACCAACCGAGAGAAGGAAGAGGCGCAAAUCACUCCGGGGAAAAAAAGUUAUUUAGACGCAAUCUUCGGAUUUUCCCAGCGCAAACUGACUCUCCUACCCGGGCUUGAUCCAGUUUUCCCGCUCCCCUUCCCCCUCCCACCCCGGGAGGGGGGGGAUAUCCAUCCCUAUUUCGUAUUUUUUUUCCCCCAUUUCCCGCCUGGGCGGGUGUUUGCUGGCACCUCGGCGCGGCCGCGGCCCGCUCCGCGCCCGCGGAAGGGUCGGCGGAGCGGGGGCCGCCCCCCCCCCGAGGCCGCGGGGUCCCCGUCGGGCUUUCGGGUCCCCGCCUUUGCCCCCCCCCCCCCCCCCGCCUCGCUUUUCUUCCCUCCCCAGCUCUUAGCAAGCGGCGAGAAAUUGUUUCAGAAGUCGGAUGGCGGGGCUGAAUUUAGAGAGGGGAGGAGGGAAUAAAUGCGAGGAGAUGAUGAAUAAUGUUAACUUUUGACUGUAGGAGUCAUGAUGGAGUUGAGGGAAGCUGCAGGGAAAUAUGUCAUUUAAUCCCAGGGCUACCGAAAUCCCUUUUAUCAAGCAUCGUGAUGCUGGAAUUACACUGCUGUAUAAGCGACCGAGUACUUAAAAGUAUGCAACAUCAGGCAAAUAUAUAGAUUGGAGGAACGGGUGUAAAAUGAACGCGCGUACAAACUAACCACACGACCGUGAAAACCCCAAGCGGAUUAGAUAAAUAUAAAUACAAGUGCAUUAAAAAAAAAAAAAAAAAGCACAGUGAAACUGUAGCUGCUGCAUUCACGCAAGGAGAACAGACAGCGUGUGCAUGUUUGUGUGCAAUGCCAAAAAGAGCAGCCUUAAGGUUGACCUACUGCAAUCUGCACUGAGCUCCUCAGACAAUAGACAAGUUCAAAUGUCAAAAAAUCUAAUAAUAAAAAACAGAGCUGCCAAACUGCACGAACUGUUUUCUGGUGUAUCACAAUUAUUCACCCUCUUAUCCACUAAGAGACUGCCAGUCCUUAUGCACGUAAAAGAAAAUCUAUGUAAUGCAUAUGGAUCUUUCUUUUUUUUUUUUUUUUCACAUGUGAAACGCUAUUGAGAUGGCAAGCACGCAAAUCAGAAUGAUAUCAUGUCUAAUAAAAGCGGGGCUAAGGUUUUCACAGUCUCUUUUAAAAGACUCCAACUUGUAAAUCCCCUUUUUAUGUCGCUACAUGCACAAUUAUUCUUAUAAAUAAAAAUCUACAUGUUCAAGGAGCUAGAUUGGAACUAUAUAUCCCUCUGAUUUUAACGUCGGUGGGAGCAUUAGGUUUCCAUCAUAUGUAAUGUGUCUACGUUGAGCUCAAGUCAACAGAUAGAUUGUUCCAUUCAUUUGGCAACUUUCAUUACAGUCCGUGUGAGGUGAACCCUGAGCACGACACGUUGGGUAAUAUCAGAAUUAUGCAGCUGGGGAAGAAAGGACCCCUAUUUUAAAAGCUAUCUUGCUUUGCAUGUGCAGUUCUGUAUUAUCGUUCUAAUUUAUUACAGAACGCGAAAUGCUUUGUUAUGCUCAAAACAAUAAAUAAGGUUCCGAGUGAAGCCUUCAGAAUAAAAGGUAUGGAUAAAUGA